GUAGAGUUUGUAGUCCUGGCUCAGAUUGUAACGCUGGCGGCGAUGCUUUACUACAUGCAAGUCGAACGGUAACAGGUCUUCGGAUGCUGACGAGUGGCGAACGGGUAGAGUAAUACAUCGGAACGUGCCUAGUAUGGGGGAGUAACUACUCGAAAGAGUAGCUAAUACCGCAUGAGAUCUACGGAUGAAAGCAGGGGACCUUCGGGCCUUGUGCUACUAGAGCGGCUGAUGGCAGAUUAGGUAGUUGGUGGGGUAAAGGCUUACCAAGCCUGCGAUCUGUAGCUGGUCUGAGAGGACGACCAGCCACACUGGGACUGAGACACGGCCCAGACUCCUACGGGAGGCAGCAGUGGGGAAUUUUGGACAAUGGGCGAAAGCCUGAUCCAGCAAUGCCGCGUGCAGGAUGAAGGCCCUCGGGUUGUAAACCGCUUUUGUACGGAACGAAAAGCCUGGGGCUAAUAUCCCCGGGUCAUGACGGUACCGUAAGAAUAAGCACCGGCUAACUACGUG
rnacentral:rRNA from 1 species